AUUCACAAUGUGAUCUUAUUUCUGUUCCUGAAAAGUUGUUUUCAGUGUAUUUUCUCCUUGAAAUCGAUCACUUCAGGUACUAUUACUGUGCAUACCUAGCUAAAUUAGUGUCUAGUUUCGUCUCUGAUGACAUUUAUUUCGUAAAAAUCGCUGUUUUUUUCUAAAAAGGUGUUUUUGUGGUCAUUUUGGCUGUUUAUUUCGAGGGUACGGUAGGAGGUCAUCGUUCACUCGAUAACUCUUUUUAAAAUGAAAUAAACGCGUUUUAAGAUACAUGAUAUGAAUUGAUAUUAAUAUUCGUUAAGUGGGAUUGUCGGUGGACGUUCAUUGGUGAACAGUUGUGCUGGAAUUACGAAAAUAUAUCGAUAUCGUUGAGAGUUCAUUCAUUAGGGGCCUGCUCUCAAUUUUCCUUACAACGCCUCUAGCACUGGGCAAUUGCCACCAUCUUGAAAAGCAGUGCCGCGGAUGGCUAUCGCAUCGCCACUACGCAUGAGAACACGAUGGCUGCCCUGCGCUGCAUUGAUAGUUCGUAAUAAAUUCACAUAAAAACACACCAGAAGAUCUCCGAUUUUAUUUACAAAGAUCAUAUUUUGUUAUUUAUUGAUAAAACAAGCCAUUUUACCACAGCAGGUGACACAUAUUAGGCCUGAAUAAGACUUUAGAAUUUGAAGUGGUGGUGACGAUGCCGAUAUCCAAGAUGGCGGAAUUAUACCAGUGGUCAAAUCUCAUCUAUUUUGGGUAAUUGCAUCAUUAUUUCUUUUUGUGAUUGGUGAUUUGUAAAAUUGAGAAUGAUUGAAAAAUCAGUAUUUUUUCACCCAAAGGCAUGAGUGAACAUUUGAUAAGUUUAUUGUGAUUUAAUUGGUAAUUUGGUCGACAUUUUGACAAUUAUAUUUAGCAAUAUUUCGAUAAAUGCGGACCUGCUUCUUCCUCUUUUCGCAGUGACGGUGUUUCGAUAACUCAGUUAGACUUCGAGAUCUACAUUUUCGACAAAGGCCUGGUGUAAUAUUAUUACGUACUUGAUGAAGGUAAUAUUAAUUUCUUCAAAUUUGAAGCAUGACGUUAAUGGAGUACCAGCACAACUUCAUUGACUGCUACGUGGCGCUGGUGGAAACUAAGGUAUUGCAUCGCUCAUAUCACUUGAAAAAAACAUUUACCCUAGUUACGACCAAAGCUGCUUAGCAGAGGGCGAUACCUCAUCAGGAGCGCCACAAUCAUAUCAUUGGUGUGAAAGCAUUUGUAUGAAGUUUUUCAGUUCUCAAUGUGUUCGAAACCUUAAUUGUGAAUUUGUGCACUUCGAAUUCAAAUUUACGUCACUACGUUAGUUUGACAUCCAUUGAUGUCACGGUAAUUUCACUGUUAUGCUGUGCUGCUUUCAGUUUUAAUGACACGAAUGAGUACAAGUACAUUACAUUUUUCGACGAAGGCCUUCUGUAAUUUCAUACGCUUCUUACGCAACAUUCAAUAGAUUUAUUUACUGUAUUAUCAUUUCGACCAAGGCGAAUUCGACACUUCAAUUCAAUUACACAAGCACAAUCAAACUUAGUCAUUCCAGUCAGUUACUGAAGCACAGCGAAAACUGUCUGAAUUAGUGCUGCUGAUGGCAUGUAAUUACUCUACUACCACUACCAGUGACAGUCAAUGUCCAAAUAUUUUCAAGUGUGCGAAAUUAGUACUCGUCUACUUCUUAGUGUUAUUUGAAUGCAAUGUAUGUUAUAAAAAUAUUUUUUCAACACUAUAUCAACAUUCUCAUUCCUGUCAGUUUCUGAAAAUCAGCUAAAGCAAUCGCUACCAGUACCAAUGCAGCGGAUAACAGCAAUUCUUUUUGUUCCCAAUGCCCAUCCAUGACAAUAUAUUUCACGCAUGUGACAAUCAUGUAAUCAUCGUGUUUUUUGUGUUCUAUUCAUGCAAUAAAUAAAUUCAGUAUUUUCAAAUCAUUGGUGCUACAAAACUAUUCUCAUUAUAGAUUAUUCAUAUUUUAUAAAAUGCUGUCAUGUCAAAUUUUGUGUCCUAUAAAUCAUAAUGAAGUCGGCAUUUUAUAUACAACUUUUGUACUCCUCCUAAAUAAACAUACAAAUCUUGUUUUAUGUAAACUUUGUAUAUGUGACCCGUCACAGCAAAACCAGGCGCAUGUCGCUCUGAGCUUGGCAGGUUGAGACGGACUGUUCUAAUCUUUCAUUAGCGACACCAUUUCUUACCAGAGUGCCUCCUUCAUUCAUACAUCUUGUACUUUAACUCAAGAUACCCAUCUUUGAAUAUUUUUAGUAUACCAAGUACUACAAUGUCAAUGUAUUGAAGUCAUGUUCUUGUAGUGUUAUUGGCUUUCUAUUAUCUUGUCAAAAUACCACUUGGUUCUCGCAAAAUCUCAAUAAAAACAAAUGCUAUUGCAUGUAUUGCAUAUUCUAACAGCUAUCCACUGUAUCGAUUUAUCCAUCAUCUGUACUAUUUGUCACAAAAAUGUUAUAUUAUGUAAAUCAUAUUUCAUUACAUAAUGCACACUGCCAAUUACUGCUGAACCAUUCAUAUGUCAUUUAAAUAAAUAAUUUUCAACUUUUUAAAACCGUCUUAUAGUACUGUUCUUGUCACUUAGCUGAACCAAUUGCUCUAUAGCAUGAAAUUUCCAGAAAUGCCCCAGGGACUGAAAAGUGCUGUUUUAACAGAGAGGUGUCCUAAACUAAG